rfam:Defluviimonas alba strain cai42, complete genome.
AUCGGUGACCGGGCCCCUCUGGCGAGAGUUUGCGGCGCUCUCGUGAUGUCGGCGCCACCU